rnacentral:sRNA from 2 species
UUCGAGCGAAAGCGAGAAAGCGUUGCCGCAGGCAACGACCCGAAGGGCGAAACGCGCAGCGCUGAGUCAUCCUUCCCCCACCACCA